rnacentral:tRNA from 1 species
AAAUAAGAAACAAAAUAUUGUAUUUAGUUUCGACCUAAAAAUCUGGUAUCGCAUACCCUUAUUUU